GCAACUUUGCCAGAGCCAAACAAAAGACUUUUGCUCAGGUGAUCAUUGCAUAUUUAAGCCAACUGCAGGCAGUUUGUUUUCUCCAACCCGCCCUGGAUGCAGGAAACUCCCCUGGCUAAUCCGAAAAACACGGAGGUUUAACUGGUUAUUAUUUCCUAGCAAGUGCUUUGAAGUUGGAUGGUGCCUGGUGUUCUUAGGGCAGAACUUGGAGGAAGAGAAAGAAGAGUGAUGACGGUGGAAGGAUCAACUAUUUGGGGCAGCAUCGGGGAGCCAACUAGACCGUGAGGCUGAGAAGCACACAUGAUUGAUGAUUCGAUUUCAUCUACUUGAAGAGUCUCAGAGCCUUAUUAAGAAAACCAAAAUGUCAUCAACUAACACCUGAAAUUCCUCAGGACCAUCUGUCUGUAGCAUUAAACAAAACCCAGGAGACUCUGGGAAAAGAACAUGGAAAAUUUAAUGAUGAACCUCACCUGGGUAGCUUGAUCCAUGUUACCUUGGUGGCUUGUCAUUAGCCAGGAAGCCCCUGGCCACAGAGGAAAAACAAGCCUGCC
rnacentral:lncRNA from 1 species